CCUACGGGUGGCAGCAGUGAGGAAUAUUGGUCAAUGGCCGGAAGUCUGAACCAGCCAAGUCGCGUGAAGGAUGACUGCCCUAAGGGUUGUAAACUUCUUUUAUCUAGGAAUAAAAUGUUCCACGUGUGGGAUUUUGUAUGUACCAUAUGAAUAAGGAUCGGCUAACUCCGUGCCAGCAGCCGCGGUAAUACGGAGGAUCCGAGCGUUAUCCGGAUUUAUUGGGUUUAAAGGGAGCGUAGGUGGAUUGUUAAGUCAGUUGUGAAAGUUUGCGGCUCAACCGUAAAAGUGCGGUUGAAACUGGCAGUCUUGAGUACAGGAGAGGUAGGCGGAAUGCGUGGUGUAGCGGUGAAAUGCUUAGAUAUUACGAAGAACUCCGAUUGCGAAGGCAGCUCACUGGACUGCAACUGACACUGAGGCUCGAAAGUGUGGGUAUCAAACAGGAUUAGAUACCCCUGUAGUC
rnacentral:rRNA from 1 species